GGUAUUUUGUUUCUUGUACUCUCAUAAUUAAUAACAUCUUACAUGGCCUUGAUCAGAUGUGGUUGUCUCUUUUAUGUACGUAUAUGUCAUGUUUUGGUAACUGAAUUUUUGGUGCCUAAAGCCCACUGCUUGUGUAGGAAUCACACAAUUUCAGAUGCAUCAUCUGGAGUUUUAAGUUGUCCAGUCUUGAGUAUGUUUUCAAGUGCAGUCUGACAUCUCCAAGGUAGAUGGUCCAGGAACAUGUAUGGUGAUACUAUUAUAUCUUUGAAUGCUUCUCUUUUCGCUACAUACGCCCUGAACCUGCAUCUUCUCUCCCAACUUUUCCAGAGCUUCCACAAUGGUUUAUGAAGACCAUCCUUCUGUGGCACAAUAUGAAUAACAAGACCAGGUAAAUACAACUCUGGAAUACUCAAUGAUGAUUUAUUUUCAGAAGAUGGAACAGCCUCCAUAAAUUCGGUUAAAGGAUCACUAAAUGGACUUGAAUCAGAAGUGGAGCAAUUGAAAGGACUGCUGAAAUGAUUUGAUGAUUCAGUUGAAACGAUUUCAUCAUCACACCUAAAAUCGGUAUCUAUGUCAUGCAAAACAGAGGAUCCUGCUUCACGCUUUGCCAAUCCAUUUUCAAGUUGGCCAUGGUUGAUUUGGUUUGUACAACUUGACAUUGCUGUCAAAGAAUUCACUGACGAUUCUCCGUCGUUCAUGCUUUUCUGACAGACGGUCAAUGAAGUAAAGUGCUGAGCAAGUUUAAGAAUUGUUGUAAUAUCAAUAGUGCCAUCUUCUG
rnacentral:misc_RNA from 1 species